UUAGAGCUGAUGCAUGAUUCCUGCAUACAGGCAGCCAAGGUAGGUGAGAUUGGGGCCUGCCUGCUGCGGAAGUGAGGAACAGACGUUGGAGCAGGAGAGAUGGAUGAGGAGAGUCCGGUCUACGUGUUCAAGGAAGCGAAGGGAUGAAGACUCACCUGGUGUGGAGAAGAACAAAGAAAUCCUGAAAAUGUUCAUUGGUUUGGCAGUGGAGGGAUGGCCACACACGCUCCUGUUAGACUGGGUAAUGGGGCAGCUCUUUCUUGGGGGAUGAGCAAUCGGGGACAGUGGCAGGCCCUGUCUUGGGGUCCACAGUGCUAUUUCCAAGGGUAGCAGUAGCUUCCUGGAAGCUGCGGUCUGAGCUGUGCUCCUGGCUGUGAUGUUCUCUUCCCACCCAUGGGUGCCACUCACGCAGGACCCUGCUCUUGCCAUAUCUGCCCUGGAUGCACGUUUCGGCCACGUGCCGCCUGGAAGCAAAGGAUGUAGGUCAGCAUUCAUGGGAGCAGACAGAGAUGGCCCAGGCUACAGGUCCCGGCUGCCCAUUGGAGAACGCAGCUUGGAAAGUACACGCUGAUGUGGCCGCUGAGAACCAACACCCCUUUGACCAUGAGGUCAGACCCCUCUCGGAAGAAGAGAAACUGAGACGCUU
rnacentral:lncRNA from 1 species